ACCUGGACAACAAGACCACACUUUAAAUGAAAACUGAAUACAUUUACUUCACAAUAGUUUCUGAACUAUUUCGUACCCAAAAAGACAUUUCUAAAAAAAGAGCUCCACUCCUCAACCAGCGGUCACGUUUGUGUUUAUGUGUGAUCCUCCAACUGUUAGACUGCUGAAGAUCCACAGGACAUUUUGUCCGUGAACUUUACCUGCUGCUGUUCAGGUUUCAACAGCUGGAAUUCAACCCUGGUGUGCAUUUUUUCAGCUUAGUGUCCCCGUGAAUCCGGAGGUAAAGAUGUGGAUCGUUAACCUUGAGCGGGUCCUCCAGGUCGCUGGAACUGGGAAAUGAGGGGUAAAGGUGCCAGGCCUGGACAUAUGCUGCUGACGCUUCCGGAGGGGGACGGGGUGGGAGACUGAGUGGGGGAGGCCAAAGGACUCGUCAUCUGAGUAGAGGCCUAAAAACAUAUAAUUAAAAAAAAAUGAAGCAAUGAAAGGAAUAACAGCAAACCAAAGUAAAAAAAAAA